GAGAGGGCGCGGAAAAAGGAAUUAAAGGCGGGAUUAAAGCAGAAGUUAAAGGAGAAAUUAAAAAUUAUGAGGCAAAGCUGGCCGUGAGCCGGUGUGGCCGCCCGGCACGGCUGCUAUGAGCGGCUGGUGAUGCGUCCAUCCUCCGCACUGGGUCUGUGGAAUUUGGGAAUGGGAUGAAGCUGGAGCUGCCAUGUCAGGAGUGAUGUCCUGACCUGGCCUGAACCAAAAGUGCACAAAACGAUGCAGAAACUUGCACUGGAGAUGGAGAAGAAAUUUCCCCCCUUUGCAUGGCCACCCACUGUUAGAUCUGAAACUUUGUCAGGCUCUGCCCCAGUCCUAUGAGUGAGGAGAGAAAUUUUUUAAACUUUAUCCAUUUUCACUGUGGUUGUGAAGUUCUGGCUGAUCAAGCCCUUUCUUGCUUCAGAAAUGCUUUCAGCAUGACUGUUUAAAGCACUCUGAGGGGAAAGUGUUUUAAUAAAUUGAAAAUGCAAA